rnacentral:rRNA from 1 species
CAAUAGCGUAUAUUAAAGUUGUUGCAGUUAAAAAGCUCGUAGUUGGAUUUCUGGUAGGAGCGACCGUGCCGAACUUGAUUGUUCGAGUAUUGUGUUGUCUUCAGCCAUCCUCGUGGAGAACUUUUCUAACAUUAACUUGUUGGGAUUGGGACCCGCGUCGUUUACUGUGAAAAAAUUAGAGUGUUUAAAGCAGGCAUUAGCUUGAAUACAUUAGCAUGGAAUAAUAAGAUAGGACUUUGGUACUAUUUUGUUGGUUUGCAUACCAAAUUAAUGAUCAACAGGAACAGUUUGAGGAUAUUCGUAUGAACAUGUCAGAGGUGAAAUUCUUGGAUUUUGAUCAGACGAACUACUGCGAAAGCAUUGAUCAAGGAUGUUUUCAUUAA